AAGGUGGUAGCUCAGUGGUAGAGCACCUGCUUUGCAUGCAGAAGGUCCUGGGUUCAAUCCCUGCCAUCUUC